UCUCUCCCUCUGGGCCCCCUUUAAAGUCUGACUCUGCACCAAAGGGAGUAUGUGUGCACACAGGGGUGGGAUGUCCUUGGGGGUCCCAGGCUGCAGAGGAAUGAGUAGAGAGAGGGUCUGCACGGCCUGAGCCCCAGAGAGAAUGUCGGUUUUGCUGCCCGGCCAGGAGUGGACUGCAUCCUUGGCCACCUGCUUGGGGCAGCCGUACACGGCCUACCAGCCCUGUGAGGCAGGCACAAAGCAACAUCUGUCCACAGGAACCCAGAACAGGCCUCCUCUGGAAAUAAAUGCCACAUAUGGUGGGAGUGCUGACUUAAAAAAGUAAUAUAUUUUUUUUAACUGGGUGGAUCCAGUCAAUAAAGGGGAGGGAAGGUGGUGUGUCGUCUGGGAAGUGCGCUCUGGGCGUGUGAUCAGGAGCCAGAAUUGACUUCAGAGGAGGUGGUAUGAUGUGAUGGGGUCGUGAGCCUUGGAUUCUGGGCCCAGCUCUGGUUCUGAAUUCUUCUUUAUUCCUUUGGUUGUUGGGGGGGCAGGGGUAGGGUGAAUGAGUGUCAUACUUCUCCCAUCUGGGGAGGGGUGUACAAAACGUGCCGUCUUACCUGUCUGGGUGCAUUGAGGACAAGUGCUUUGUGCUUUGAAACAGAAAAAAAAAAAAAAAGAAAGAAAGGCAUCAGUUACAAAAUGAGCAGCUGCAUCAAGUGUUUUAUAGUUUACAGAGCACUUUCACAUGGUUUUAAUGCGAUCAAGAAAGAAAGAAACUCCUGGAAAAUAGAUAAGGCUGUCAGACUGCAGAUUUAUCUCCUUUUUAAAGUUGAGAAAACUGGAGGAGGGAAGUGAAAAGGUUUGGCCUGGUGGACUUGGGACUCCACCACUUGUGCUCCUUUUUGUACUGUGCACUGCUCUCUACUUCGAAAGUUUUGAAUGCAUUCUUUGCUGAAUGCUAGAGCACAGUUAGCUUGGGAUGGGGGCAGCCGUGGAUCUUUGUUGGUAAGGUUGCUGAUGUUCUGUCUUUGGGUUGGUGACUGCUUGGAGGAGAGCCCUUGCUUUCUCUUGCCUUGGUAGGGGUUUGCCCUCUAGGGAAACUUAGCUGGGGCCUGCCUUUUCCUCUUCCAAAGUCCUCCACAGCUUGAGGCAUAGGAAUGCUUUGGACAUUUCUGAGAGUUCAAGCUAACUUGCGUCUGGCCUUCCCAUGACUCUGAUAGGAAUGGGGCAUCUUCCACCUGCCUUGGCAAGGGCCGAAUACGAAGGUAGAUUUUGUUUUCAACCUUUUCUCAGGGAAGCCCAGUUGCUUGGAUGGAUCCAGACAAAAUGGAUUUCCAUCCCUGGAUUUUGUGCCCACGCCUCUGGGUCACCUUGUCUCCCUUGGCAACGGCUGCCACUGUUUUGGUCGUGGGCAGGAAACUAAAGGCCACGUCUUGGGGAGGUGUCUAGCUGGCCUCCAUGUUAGUGCUAUCAGUGUCUGCUAAGCCCCAAAGAGUGUGGUGGUGUUUGUCCAAUUGUCUGCUCUCUCUACACUACCUUGUAUAACGAGGGCUUUGGAAAGUUAACCAAGGGAUGUUUAACCUAGUUAUCCCAUGGUGUGUGGGGGAUGGGGCACGGAGUGGUUAAAACUACCCUGGGGUUUCAGGAGACCUCAGUCUGGGGAGAUGUGACAAGCGUGCUUUGGCUAGUACGUAAUUGUGAUCAGCAACAGCAACCUUUGGCAAGGACAGCCGUAUCCUAGGGUCUUCCAGACUGCAUGCUUGUGGGUGUUACGCCGGCUCUAACCUGUCUCAGUGAUCAGGAGAGCUGGAGCGUUACAGGCUUACCGAUACCAAGAAUGUGAAAGAGACCUGUGCCAAGGAAGUGGUAAGAGCUUGAUUUAGAUACACCAGCAGAGAGGCUAUCAGGAUACUCUGAGGUCUGGCAGUCUGGGCAGAACUUAGACACGUUGUAUAACAGCAUCUUACGUGUCACCUGCCUGAGUAUCUAAGUAAAGCAGCGAGCAUCUUCCCUGCCAGUUGGUAAGCAUGGAGCCCCAGCAUUUACUGUGGAGAGGAAGAGAAGGUGUGCGCAUGCUAGGUCAGUAAUCAGGGGCCAGGCACACUUAAGAAUGACUGCUCUGAAGGACACUGGUAACCUGCGCUUCCAGUGACGGGCUCCAUGCCUUGGCCCGGUUGUUGGGAGCUGGACCAAGCUUCCAGUCUGGUUGGUUUGGAAGGGAAUUCGAGCUUUCUUGUGUCAACGUCCAGAGGAAAACGGGGAAUUGAACCAGACGCCAGGUCUGACACAUUCCAUCUCCUCUUCCUUUGUGAAUCUGUUCUUUGACCGUGGCCUCCUGCUGUUAGCCACCUGGACUUCACCAGUCUACUCUCACCCUCGGGAGAAAGGAAAAAGAUCGUCAUCUUGAAGGCUCCUUUCUCAGACGUCUGGGGGCAGACCUAUUACGAGGGCUGCAGGAGUGGCUUCUUUUUAAUACCCUCUUGACCUCCCUAUCUCCUGUCCACCCACCUCUCUCGCUGCGGCUCAGAGCACCAUUCUGGUGUAGCCCAUGGAAAUACCAUGAGCAAGGCAGGACACCGGUUCUCAAGGAGCUCCCUGUCCAGAGGGGGAGACGGACUUGGCCAAAGGUACAGGAAAUGAGCUACAGCCGAGGGAUGGACAAAGCGCCCAGGGAUAUGGGGACAGACCGUUUAAUUCUGUGGGAGGGGGUGGGGAGAGGAGGGAGGGGUCAGUGCAAGGAUUUAUUAUCCAAAGGAAGUUUCUGGACUACAAACAUGAUCAUGUGAACUUUUGGGUACGUGGUGAUACCAGUCUACAAGAAUGAGGAUGUCUUUAUCUUCUUCUGUCUUUUGCUAAACUGAGUACUGUUGUAAAAAUGUUACUUCAUGGCCUGCAUGGAAGGGCCAGUGACCUGUGUGCGGUAUUUACUCUGCUUACAACGUUCUGUCCUUGAAGUAAAAAGUAAUUUAGUAUUGCAAACUUGAAAUUCAGGUUUCCUCCGUGGGAACAGUGACUUUAGAUAUAUUAGCUCAGAAUAUAACAAAGAGUGUCAGUAAAAACGGGGUAACUUGUUGAUGAUUGUGGAUACUUAGAAUUUCAGCAUUUUGGUGUGACCUAGCUUUCUGGGUCUCUGGUUAACACUUGGCUGAACUAAAUCCUGUAAGCCUGAGUUUCUGCGUGGACAUAAGAGCUUUGAAUGAUCUAUUUUUAAAAAAUCUUCGCCAGGAUGUCAAGUCUCCAAUGAACAUUUUAAUCAUGGAAAAAAGUCAGCCAAUAUGUAUGGUAGUCAUUUAGUUCUGAUGAGAAAUGCAAGAAGCUGAUGAAAUGGAGAGAAUGUGGCUCAAGCUUAUCACAUCAAGAAUCCAAUUAAAAUGAGUUUUUGAAAAAUAAAUAUUGGUUUAAUAAUGUAAACUUGUAAUUGCUGUAUUAUUUUAAUGGAAAUAAAAUUAACAUGAUUUAAUGGA